UACGUAGGGGGCAAGCGUUGUCCGGAGUUACUGGGCGUAAAGCGCACGCAGGCGGUCUCUUAAGUUUGGAGUGACAGUUGGUGGCUUAACUGCCAAAGUGCUUCGAAAACUGAGAGACUUGAGGGCUUCAGAGGGACACGGAAUUCCGGGUGGAGUGGUGAAAUGCGUAGAGAUCCGGAGGAACACCAAAGGCGAAGGCAGGUGUCCUGGGGAGUACCUGACGCUCAGGUGCGAAAGCCAGGGGAGCGAACGGG
rnacentral:rRNA from 1 species